rnacentral:rRNA from 1 species
AAACCAACAGGGAUUGCCUCAGUAACGGCGAGUGAAGCGGCAAAAGCUCAAAUUUGAAAUCUAGCACCUUCGGUGUUCGAGUUGUAAUUUGAAGAUGGCAACCUUGGGUUUGGCUCUUGUCUAUGUUCCUUGGAACAGGACGUCAUAGAGGGUGAGAAUCCCGUCUGAUGAGAUGCCCAUUCCUUUGUAAGGUGCUAUCGAAGAGUCGAGUUGUUUGGGAAUGCAGCUCUAAGUGGGUGGUAAAUUCCAUCUAAAGCUAAAUAUUGGCGAGAGACCGAUAGCGAACAAGUACAGUGAUGGAAAGAUGAAAAGAACUUUGAAAAGAGAGUGAAAAAGUACGUGAAAUUGUUGAAAGGGAAGGGCAUUAGAUCAGACUUGGUGUUUUACGAUUAUCUUCUCUUCUUGAGUUGUGCACUCGUAUUUCACUGGGCCAGCAUCGAUUCGGAUGGUAAGAUAAGAACAGUUGAAUGUGGCUCUUCGGAGUGUUAUAGCUUCUGUUGAUAUUGCCUGUCUGGAUCGAGGGCUGCGUCUUUUGACUAGGAUGCUGGCGUAAUGAUCUAAUGCCGC